rnacentral:rRNA from 1 species
CCCUUAGAUGUUCUGGGCCGCACGCGCGCUACACUGAUGCAUUCAACAAGCCUAGCCUUGACCGAGAGGUCCGGGUAAUCUUUGAAACUGCAUCGUGAUGGGGCUAGAUUAUUGCAAUUAUUAAUCUUCAACGAGGAAUGCCUAGUAAGCGUGAUUCAUCAAAUCGCGUUGAUUACGUCCCUGCCCUUUGUACACACCGCCCGUCGCACCUACCGAUUGAAUGGUCCGGUGAAAUCUUCGGAUCUGAGAGAUGUCUGAUUAAUUUCGGACGCCUUUUGGAAAAGUUGUUUAAACCUUACCAUUUAGAGGAAGGUGAAGUCGUAACA